CCUUCGAUAGCUCAGUUGGCAGAGCGGUGGACUGUAGAAUUGCCUUUCGGCAUAGUAGAAAUCCAUAGGUCGCUGGUUCAAAUCCGGCUCGAAGGA
rnacentral:tRNA from 1 species